GCAAGGCUAAUCUCUUUGUCCGAUGGCAGAUUUUUCUCAGCCACUUCUCUCCCCAAGGGAGGAAAAUAAACGGAUCCACUCGCCGGAAUCCGGCCAAAAAGAAACAAAGGCUGUUUUUGCUCCUGACGCCGAUGACAUCCCUCCGAUCAACAACGCACGUGAUUUCUACAGAGAGUUCUGUGUUGAAUUAAAGAAACUGUGG
rnacentral:misc_RNA from 1 species